UACGUAGGGUGCAAGCGUUGUCCGGAAUUAUUGGGCGUAAAGAGCUCGUAGGCGGUUUGUCGCGUCUGCUGUGAAAACGCGGGGCUCAACUCCGCGCCUGCAGUGGGUACGGGCAGACUAGAGUGCAGUAGGGGAGACUGGAAUUCCUGGUGUAGCGGUGGAAUGCGCAGAUAUCAGGAAGAACACCGAUGGCGAAGGCAGUUCUCUGGGCCGUAACUGACGCUGAGGAGCGAAAGCGUGGGGAGCGAACAGG
rnacentral:rRNA from 1 species